AUGAAUGCUGCGACAAGUCUAGAACCUAGAGCAAAGGCCACCCUGGUUCUCGGAGGGGAAUCGUUCACACUGGCGGCGAUGAGGGAGAAGAGCAUGGUGAUCCUCAAGGAGUACAUCACCAAGCACAACGUCCCAAACGAUGUCCCUGAUGAAUCCAUCGAGGGCCCAUCGGAUGAGGAGGGUGAGGCACUUGCUAAAAACCCGCCCAAGAAAUCAAAGAAGCAGAAGUGA
rnacentral:rRNA from 1 species